UGCCCUCGUGAAUUUAUCAUCCAUACCGAUCAUGAAACACUCAAGUACCUAAAGGGUCAAACUAAGUUGAACAAGCGUCAUGCUAAGUGGAGUGAAUUCAUUGAGUCAUUUCCUUAUGUCAUCAAGUACAUCAAAGGUAAAGAAAAUGUUAUGGCGGAUGCUCUUUCCCGCGUAUGCAUGCUUGUCGCAAAACUUGAAUUGAAUGCCAUUGGUUUUGAGCACAUUAAAGACUUGUAUGCGCAUGAUCCUACUUUUGCUAUUCCUUAUGCAAAGUGUUUGACGCAUACAUCUUGGGAACGCUAUUACAUCAAAGAUGAUUAUCUUAUGAGAGUUAACAAACUUUGCAUCCCUGAAUCUUCUCUUUGUUUGUUACUUUUGCAAGAAUCUCAUGGAGGACUAAUGGGACACUUUGGAUGUGACAAGACAUUCGCUACUCUCUCCAAGAACUAUUUUUGGCCCAAGAUGUUCCGUGACGUCUCACGCUUCACCAACCGAUGUUCGACAUGUCGCAAAGCUAAGUCAAAUGCUCAAUCCUAUGGUCUUUACAUGACACUUCCUAUUCCAUAUCAACCUUGGGGAGACAUUAGCAUGGACUUUGUACUUGGUUUGCCUAGAACUCAAAAUGUAAAGGAUUCUGUGUUUGUUGUUGUGGACCAAUUCUCUAAGAAGGCUCAUUUUAUCCCAUGCAACAAGAUAGAUGAUGCUUCACAUAUUGCAAAUCCUUUUUGUAGGGAAUUCUUGCGCCUCCAUGGAGUGCCAAAGGCGGUUGUCUCGAACCGCGAUGUCAAGUUCUUGAGUUACUUUUGGAAGACUCUAUGCGCCAAGCUCAGAAUCAAGCUCUUGUUCUCUUCGGCAUACCAUCCUCAAACCGACUGCCAAACGGAGGUGACAAACCGAACACUCUCCACUCUACUACGCAUGUUGAUCAAGAGGAACAUCAAGGAGUGGGAGGAGUGCCUACCCAUCGCUGAGUAUGCCUACAACUGUGCAAGACAUUCGACUACCGGCAAGUCCCCCUUCGAGGUCAUCUACGGUUUCAACCCGUUGUCCCCAUUGGACAUUCUUCCUCUUCCACUACAAGAGUGCAUCAAUAUGGACGCGAGUGCACGAGCAAGCUACCUCAAGAAGAUGCAUGAAGAUACAAGGCACACCAUCAAGCGCCAAGUGCAACGACUCGCGACUAAGCUCAACAUCAACAAGCAACCCAUGAUAUUGAACAUUGGAGAUCUUGUGUGGCUACACCUUCGCAAGGAACGCUUCCCCAAUGAAAGCAAGUCCAAACUUCUACCCCAAGCUGAUGGACCCUUCAAGGUGCUAGCAUGCUACAACAACAACAACGCUUACAAGAUCGACCUCCUGUGCAACAAGUACAACGUGAGUGACAUCUUCAACAUCAAAGAUCUA
rnacentral:rRNA from 1 species